AGGGAAGCUUCCACAAUGGACGAAAGUCUGAUGGAGCAACGCCGCGUGAGUGAUGAAGGUUUUCGGAUCGUAAAACUCUGUUGUAAGGGAAGAACCAGUACGUCAGGCAAUGGACGUACCUUGACGGUACCUUAUUAGAAAGCCACGGCUAACUACGUGCCAGCAGCCGCGGUAAUACGUAGGUGGCAAGCGUUGUCCGGAAUUAUUGGGCGUAAAGCGCGCGCAGGUGGUUUCUUAAGUCUGAUGUGAAAGCCCACGGCUUAACGGGGAGGGUCAUAGGAAACUGGGAGACUUGGGUGCGGAAGAGGAAAGUGGAAUUCCAAGUGUAGCGGUGAAAUGCGUAGGGAUUUGGAGGAACACUAGUGGCGAAGCCGACUUUCUGGUCGGCAACUGACGCUGAGGCGCGAAAGCGUGGGGAGCAAACA
rnacentral:rRNA from 1 species